CAACUUGCAGCGACGGAUGUCUCGGCUCAAACAACGAUGAAGGACGCAGCGAAGUGUGAUAAGCAUUGUGAAUGCAGAACUCCGUGAAUCAACAGACUUUUGAACGUACGUUGCGCUGCCGGGUUACCCCUGGCAGCAUGUCUACUUCAGUGUCUACU
rnacentral:rRNA from 1 species